GCAGACUCACUCUGCACCUGGCUGCAGCCCCAGGCGGGUGCUUUUUCCGUCUGCCAGAGUAACAUCCCAGGGUGCUGUGACCACCUUGACCUGUCAUGGGUGAUGCAGUUGUCUGGGGACACGGUG
rfam:Felis catus cont1.808266, whole genome shotgun sequence.